rnacentral:misc_RNA from 1 species
UUUUAUCCAAAUGCCAAUUGAAUGUCCAAAUUUUCAGGGAAAAUUAACCAAUUGCCAAUCAAAUUCCCAAAUCCUCAAUUCCAAUUGCCCAAAACAAACUCAAGAAAUAAAAUUACAUUAAUUUUUCAAUUAUAAACAACGAUAAAAUGAAAAAAUCAACAAUGACAACAAAAAGAAUCACUAAUACAUGAAAUUCUCUCUGAUUAUGAAUAAACUCAGUACACUCACCUAUAUGAUUAUGAAGAGGCAGACUAUCAUAAAUCCUUCAACAAUCUUGGCCAUUUUUAGAAUGGAUGUAGUGGCUCUUUUGCAUCUCAUAUCAUGGUCACUGUCAACACAUCAACUUGACAAGAGAGAAAUCAAUGGGUCUGCAUUUAAUUCAUAGAGAGAGAAUCGAUAAGCAAGAAGAGAAACCUUUAAUAGUGGGACAAUUUGGGCUUUGGCUAGCGACUAAAUGACGAAGUGGAGAAAUGGAGAAGGAAGAAGGCAAUAGACUAGAACAUUUUGAGGGCAAAAAUGGAGAGUAUUAUCAGAUGAGAGAAAGACUAGAAUCUUCUGGCUUCGCUUUUGGCUAGAUGACGAGGAGGAAGGACAACCGAGGGAGAGAGGAAGAUGAGACUAAGGGAGAUGAGACCAAGUAAUAUGAGAGAAAGAAAGAAGCACUAAAGUAAUAGGUAUCAUCUAUAUUGGCCGUCUACUUUUGUGGAUAGAGGGGAGAAGGAAUGGUCUGCUUGUGGAUAAAGAGGGGGAGGGCCUGUGUUUCUG